rnacentral:rRNA from 1 species
UGACGGGCCCGCACAAGCAGCGGAGCGUGUGGUUUAAUUCGAUGCUACACGAAGAACCUUACCAGGGUUUGACAUACAAGUAGUAGGGAAAGGAAACUGGACCGACCCUUCGGGAGCUUGUACAGGUGCUGCAUGGCUGUCGUCAGCUCGUGUCGUGAGAUGUUCGGUUAAGUCCGCUAACGAGCGCAACCCUCGCUGUGUGUUACAAGUGUCACACGGAACUGCCGGUCAUAAACCGGAGGAAGGUGGGAUGACGUCAAGUCAGCAUGGCCUUUAUAUCCUGGGCUACACACACGCUACAAUGGGAAGGGACAAUAGGUUGCCAAGCCGCGAGGCGGAGCCAAUCCACAAAGCCGGCCUCAGUUCGGAUUGUAGGCUGCAACUCGCCUGCAUGAAGAUGGAGUUGCUAGUAACCGCAGGUCAGCAAUACUGCGGUGAAUACGUUCCCGGGUCUU